rnacentral:rRNA from 1 species
GAUGAACGCUGGCGGCGUGCCUAAUACAUGCAAGUCGAGCGAACAGAUAAGGAGCUUGCUCCUUUGACGUUAGCGGCGGACGGGUGAGUAACACGUGGAUAACCUACCUAUAAGACUGGGAUAACUUCGGGAAACCGGAGCUAAUACCGGAUAACAUAUUGAACCGCAUGGUUCAAUAGUGAAAGGCGGCUUUGCUGUCACUUAUAGAUGGAUCCGCGCCGUAUUAGCUAGUUGGUAAGGUAACGGCUUACCAAGGCAACGAUACGUAGCCGACCUGAGAGGGUGAUCGGCCACACUGGAACUGAGACCAGGUCCAGACUCCUAAGGGAGGCAGCAGUAGGGAAUUUUCCGCAAUGGGCGAAAGCCUGACGGAGCAACGCCGCGUGAGUGAUGAAGGUCUUCGGAUCGUAAAACUCUGUUAUCAGGGAAGAACAAAUGUGUAAGUAACUGUGCACAUCUUGACGGUACCUGAUCAGAAAGCCACGGCUAACUACGUG